rnacentral:rRNA from 1 species
AUGGUCAAGCAAUAAAGAGCACAGGGCGAAUGCCUUGGCACUAGGAGCCGAAGAAGGACGUGAUAAGCUGCGAAAAGCUAC